rnacentral:rRNA from 1 species
UACGAAGGGGGCUAGCGUUGCUCGGAAUCACGUGGGCGUAAAGCGCACGUAGGCGGAUUGUUAAGUCAGGGGUGAAAUCCUGGAGCUCAACUCCAGAACUGCCUUUGAUACUGGCGAUCUCGAGUCCGGGAGAGGUGAGUGGAACUGCGAGUGUAGAGGUGAAAUUCGUAGAUAUUCGCAAGAACACCAGUGGCGAAGGCGGCUCACUGGCCCGGUACUGACGCUGAGGUGCGAAAGCGUGGGGAGCAAACAGG